UACGUAGGGACCGAGCGUUGUCCGGAAUCAUUGGGCGUAAAGAGCGUGUAGGCGGCCCUUUAAGUCCUGCGUGAAAUCCUGCGGCUCAACCGCAGACGGUCGUGGGAAACUGGAUGGCUUGAGUUUGGGAGAGGGAUGCGGAAUUCCAGGUGUAGCGGUGAAAUGCGUAGAUAUCUGGAGGAACACCGGUGGCGAAGGCGGCAUCCUGGACCAACACUGACGCUGAGUGAGCGAAAGCCAGGGGAGCAAACGGG
rnacentral:rRNA from 1 species